UUGAUUCGUCUGUACAGUUGGUAAACAGUAAACAUGUGGCAGCUGGAUAACUGUAGUUAAAUCAGAAAUAAAGAACUAUUGGGAUCGACAGCGAAAGUUUCCCCUUAUCCAGGAGUUCUUUGUGAAAACCUAAAUACAGUCAAUUGCAUGUCAGUGGUCAAAUACCUAGUGAGUUUGGUUUCGUAAUUACUGCUUUUCUUCCAAUUUUACAACAGCGUUUACUUGUGUAAAGACUUAGCUAAAUUUGUACAAAUGGAACGCUCAACCACCGAAGGAGGCAGCGUUAUUGUUACGGAAGAUUUGGAAAACCGGAUCGAAUUUCGUCCGAGUCUUUCGGGUGCACUAGAACGCCCACUUCCUACAUUAAAUUAUCUAUUGAUGGAAUAUCGAGAAGCCAUUGAGGAAAAGGCUCGCUACCAAAUAGAAUUAGACCAUGAAAUCAAAAUAGCAGAUGAUUUGCAAAAUGAACUCAAUUAUUACCAAACUGUCUUGGAUCACAAAACGAAAAAUAAUCAGAUUCCUCCGUUAGGAGUUCAACAGUUCUGCAGCAUCGAAUCAAUCUAUAAAGAGCUCACAGCUGCCAUCAAAACUUUAGAAGAACAAUUGCUAAGUCAGCAGGAAGGAAUUCAAGCUGCCAUCAAUCAGGUUGAAAAGUCAGCAUGGGAAAUGUCUCGGAUAGGCGAACAAGAGUUUCUACAAAAAAUGAACCAACUGGAGGUCACCUUUGAAGGCGAAAUGGAAAUUCUGCGCCAAGCAAUGAAGAAAGAGGAAGGCAAGUUAAGAACAGCAAAAGAAAAGUCUGAAUUGGAGCAUUCAAAACGGAUGGAGGAAGUACGGAAAAGUAUGGCCAAUAGAAUGAAAUCUGACAGUCAUCACAUCGAGUGUCGUUCGAUCGAGCUGGAUUUAAGGAAGCAAUGUGCACGCUUGGAAAAGGAACUCAAGCAGUUGGAACAACAACAAAGAUCCAAACGCAAACUUCCGCUAUCCUUCGUUGCUAGUGACAAUGCAACGGAAAGGGCGGGCAAGUCCCCAAACAAUUCGAAAGGCAACAAUAGAAACAAUGACACGUUGACUCCCCGCCCAACUCAACCCGGUUCAGCUGGCAAAGAGCCACCGGAGAACGCGCCCAAUGGUAGCGGUGGCGCUCGCAAGCACAACGCUCAAAGAAAAAGAAGAGAAUUGGCGGCCUUGGAUCAUGCAUUUGACCAAUACACGGCUUACAAAGAACAUUUUCGCCAUUUGGCACAAAUCGUGUAGCAUAGCCAAAAGGGAAAACCCUCUUUUCUUUCCGUAAGUAUUGCCUAACAUGAUGAAGUACGGAUUCCUUUAUAGGUGUUUUAUCAUGGGAAAAUCCUAAAAAAGCAUUUCCGGCAUUGGCUUGUUGAAUGGGGAAAACCAAAGUUAUCAUCAUCCAAGGGCUCCAAGAAUUUUACGAGUCACUAUGAGUGAAUCAAGAAAAGCAUAGAAAUGCUACCCGAUACAACCAGCCUACGUUAUCAUUUAAUAGGUAAGACCCAGUGUAACCUUUUAAACAAAGGGAAUAAUACCAAGAAGUAUAAGCUGCCAUGCGCUUUGGCCCUGCGAUAAUGUCAUUCCGUUAAAGAAAGAAAACAAAGGCUAAAAGAGGAAGAGAAAAGGAAAGAAAAAAAUAGCCGCAGGGCGGGAUUCACCUUGGUCUUAAGCUGGAAAUGAGAGUCCACGCGUCCGUGCUCACGCAUCUGGAGGCACCAAGUCAAAAAGUCAAUAAACCUUUGGAUCUUCUUCAUAAUCAACAGUAUCUCUCGUCUGAGGAGUAACCACGGCUGACCUAAGUCCGACACAACAGCAGUUUUAAAAAUCAAUCUAUCAACUUCCAACGCUUUUGUUGCUACACCUACGGGGAAGAGGAAAGAAAGAAGGUAUUUAAGGUACGUUUUCAGAUGUUGUUCGUCGAUAACAACUGCUGGUGGAUACCCGAGGCAAUGUCGCGGAUUUUCUGCCCUUCCUAUUGCAAUAAAAGUGGUGUAUGCAGCGCUGCAGCUUUGGCUUGACACGCAUACACGCACCUGAGUUCUGUGUGGCGAUGGCCAUAGUCUUCCAGUAGAAGACCUGCCUGGCUGGACAGUCAUUCACGCGAAGACCGAGCCGUCAUCUUGCUAAACAACGUUUUCUGGGCAAAUACCUUUUGUUUUCUCAUCCAUUUCUGUUCCGGUUUCUGGUGUUUAAAUUGUUAGUGCAACCAAACCAUUA